rnacentral:tRNA from 1 species
GGGUAUAGCUCAGUGGUAGAGCACAUGAUAGCGUGCACGGGGCCCUGGGUUCAAUCCCCGGUACCUCCA